rnacentral:rRNA from 1 species
GACAGAGGGUGCAAACGUUGUUCGGAAUUACUGGGCGUAAAGCGUGUGUAGGCGGCUACGCAAGUCGGAUGUGAAAGCCCCGGGCUCAACCCGGGAAGUGCACCCGAAACUGCGUGGCUCGAGUACCGGAGAGGUUGGUGGAAUUCUCGGUGUAGAGGUGAAAUUCGUAGAUAUCGAGAGGAACACCGGUGGCGAAGGCGGCCAACUGGACGAGUACUGACGCUGAGGCGCGAAAGCUAGGGGAGCAAACGGG